rnacentral:lncRNA from 1 species
CCCACUCUCCCUCCCUCCACUGUCCCCAUUCUUCUACUCCCUCUCCCUCAAAUUAUUAUCCAAAACAGGACCUUUCAGCUUCUCCUCCAUCCUCUUUAUCAACUCCUUGACACUAUGGUUGCUGCCGCAGCUUCAAUGUUGCUGCUGCCAAAUCCCCGUGCCUGAGGUCAGAGGCGAUCUCUUCGGCUGAGGUGGUGAAGCUGGGCAGAGGAGGCGGAGAGCGAACGAAUGGAGGUCAACGAUGGGAGGGACACAGUGGUCCGAGGGAUCGACAUGUUUUUUACUCCUGCCCCUCUGGAUAAGGACACUUGCGUAAGGGUCUUCCUGCUUUCUUCUUGUGAUUGAUGAUAGUAUGAUGAUAAUGAUUCAAGAAGUACUGUUUUAGUUCUGAGACUGUUGCUUUUAUGUAAACCACGAAUCUUUUUUCAAGCACCAUCUGUUUAAUGUUCUAGAAGUUGAUCACUCUCUUUUUCAAGCACCCCGAGUUUAGUGUUCAAGAAUAACACAGCAAGAAGAAAGAAAAUGAUGAAAUCUGAAAUUUAAUAGAGGUCUAAGCAAUGCAAGAUUUGGAAGUACUUUCGUCAUUUAAAGUGCAUGAGUAUAUUUGGCAUGUUCAAUGAAAAAGAGCUGGAAAAUCUAUGAUAUUUGAGGACACCUACUUAAGUCCACUUGUCAUAGAAUUCAUCAACUUGGGCAAACAUGUAAAAGAUUUUACCAUGUUUAAAGAGUGGAUUUUGACAUAACAAGUAAUGUAACCAACAAGAAAUAGCCAGGUAAAAUAACAAGGACUCUUAAAACAAACUUAAGGGUAAAGUGAACAAAUUUUAAUACAAUUGAGAAGACUCUUGUUCUAUAUUUUACAACUUAACCAACCUAUAGGGGUUGUUCCCUUGGACUCAAGUAGUCAUGAAAAUUUAGCACUAUUACUCUAUGCUCCAUUCAAGCACAUUGAAUAUGCUGCCAAUUGGAGCUCAACAUUUUCUUAAUGCUUCGCCGUAUAGUAAAUAACAUAUUUUUUUUUGAAAAAAUAAUACUAAAGGUUUGUUUGGUUCAUAGAAAGAACUUUUUCUCAUUAGAAUACUUUUAUCGGGAACCUGAUAAGGUGAUUUUGAUAUGUUUGGUUGACCAUAAAAAUAUGACAUAUUCCAUAUUGUCUUGUGUUUAGUUGAGCAUCUAUUUUUUUGAAAAAAUUAUAUAAAAUAUUUAUUAUAUCCUUAAUAAGAGAAAAAACCAUAUCCUAUUUUAUUCAUAGCUUUAAGGGCUCUUUUGGAAAAAACCUUAAAUUCCUAACCUAUGGAAAAGGAAAAGUCUCAUGUUCCACAUGAGUUUUUUUUGAUGAUACAUGAAAAUUUUAUUUUUACUAGAACGCCAUUGUCCAGUCUCUCUCCUUUAAAAAAUUCCAGCCAAAUAAAGAAGAUUUCUUCAUUUUCUUAUUGACCAUGCUUUGCUCUCUUCUUUCCCCACAAACCAAACAAGUUCCAAAUGAUUAAGCUCUCUCUCUCUCUCUCCCACUCUCACUCUCUUUGGGUUAAAAAAGUUCCCUCUUGCUCAAGUGAGAGAAAUAAUAGCUUUGAUUGCCAAGUCAAAAAUGUAAUCAUAGUUCUUAGAUGAAAAUCACUUUAAUACGAUCACAGUCUUCCAUAAUUUUGCUGAUGCGCAAACACAGGGCCUAUCAUGUAUCAUUAGUAGGCCUAACACCAUUUUGAUGCGUAUCCAACAUGUUGGGCCAAGGCCAGCAGGCCCAGUCCAACUGCAAUCAUGUGUGAUUGAGCUAUUUCUAAAUUCAUAGGAUUCGAUUUUCACUAUUUAUCCCUAUGCAUACUUCCCUCUCCCUCUCUCUAUUCUAUCAGGGUUUACGCCCCCAAGGAGGACUUGGUGAUGAACCCAACCGCAUCCACCACCUCGUCCUAUUUUGUUGGCCACUCGAGAGAGAGGAUGCGAG